AUUGAACGCUGGCGGCAUGCUUUACACAUGCAAGUCGAGCGGCAGCGCGGGGGCAACCCUGGCGGCGAGCGGCGAACGGGUGAGUAAUGCAUCGGAACGUAUCCUCGAGUGGGGGAUAACCCAGCGAAAGUUGGGCUAAUACCGCAUGAGCUCUGAGGAGGAAAGCGGGGGACCUGCGAGGGCCUCGCGCUGGAGGAGCGGCCGAUGUCCGAUUAGCUAGUUGGUGGGGUAAAGGCUUACCAAGGCGACGAUCGGUAGCUGGUCUGAGAGGAUGAUCAGCCACACUGGGACUGAGACACGGCCCAGACUCCUACGGGAGGCAGCAGUGGGGAAUGUUGGACAAUGGGGGCAACCCUGAUCCAGCCAUGCCGCGUGAGUGAAGAAGGCCUUCGGGUUGUAAAGCUCUUUCGGACGGAACGAAAUGGGCGGGACUAAUACUCCUGUCUGAUGACGGUACCGUAAGAAGAAGCACCGGCUAACUACGUG
rnacentral:rRNA from 1 species